AAACCAUAUUGAGGACAUUUGCGUAAAAGAUCCUUGAACCGUUCAUGUGCCUAAAAAAGUUUUUCAGAGUCUCUCUGCAUGAAAGAUGAGAUCUCCUAUCUCAGUCU